rnacentral:lncRNA from 1 species
GUGGCACAAUGGCACACAAUGAGGCAGGCGCGAGAGGGUGAAAGAGCAUGAUCGCGGUGCUGGAACAGCGUAGAAAAUGACAUAGUUUCGUUCUCCGCACGCGCGGUUGCACGACGUAAGA